rnacentral:rRNA from 1 species
UGUAUAAUGGGUCAGCGACUUAUAUUCAGUGGCAAGGUUAACCAUCUAGGGGAGCCGUAGGGAAACCGAGUCUUAACUGGGCGUUCAGUCUCUGGAUAUAGACCCGAAACCAGGUGAUCUAGCCAUGGGCAGGUUGAAGGUUGAGUAACAUCAACUGGAGGACCGAACCGACUAAUGUUGAAAAAUUAGCGGAUGACUUGUGGCUAGGGGUGAAAGGCCAAUCAAACCUGGAGAUAGCUGGUUCUCCCCGAAAGCUAUUUAGGUAGCGCCUCGGACGAAUACUACUGGGGGUAGAGCACUGUUAAGGCUAGGGGGUCAUCCCGACUUACCAACCCUUUGCAAACUCCGAAUACCAGUAAGUACUAUCCGGGAGACACACGGCGGGUGCUAACGUCCGUCGUGGAGAGGGAAACAACCCAGACCGCCAGCUAAGGUCCCAAAUUACUACUAAGUGGGAAACGAUGUGGGAAGGCUCAGACAGCCAGGAUGUUGGCUUAGAAGCAGCCAUCAUUUAAAGAAAGCGUAAUAGCUCACUGGUCGAGUCGGCCUGCGCGGAAGAUGUAACGGGGCUAAGUAG